CCUACGGGUGGCAGCAGUGGGGAAUAUUGGACAAUAGGGGCAACCCUGAUCCAGCCAUGCCGCGUGUGUGAAGAAGGCCCUCGGGUUGUAAAGCACUUUCAGUGAGGAAGAACGCCUGGUGGUUAAUACCCAUCAGGAAAGACAUCACUCACAGAAGAAGCACCGGCUAACUCCGUGCCAGCAGCCGCGGUAAUACGGAGGGUGCGAGCGUUAAUCGGAAUUACUGGGCGUAAAGCGCGCGUAGGUGGCUUGAUAAGCCGGUUGUGAAAGCCCCGGGCUCAACCUGGGAACGGCAUCCGGAACUGUCAAGCUAGAGUGCAGGAGAGGAAGGUAGAAUUCCCGGUGUAGCGGUGAAAUGCGUAGAGAUCGGGAGGAAUACCAGUGGCGAAGGCGGCCUUCUGGACUGACACUGACACUGAGGUGCGAAAGCGUGGGUAGCAAACAGGAUUAGAUACCCUAGUAGUC
rnacentral:rRNA from 1 species